CGUAUCGCUUUAGACAGCGAAUGAGUACUUUCAUAUCAGUUAUGUGCCCCCUGCAUAUGAUCAUUUUUGCAUAUAAAAUAAGGGGGGCGACUUACGCAGGGUUGCCAACUUGGGUCAGCUUGUUGGCAUGAGAUUUUCAAUUCGGGACAAGCCUACACACGUAUUCACAUUUAUAUAACAGUUUCAUUACUUUGUAAAUAGUCUUUAUGGUUUGCAAACUGCCGAAACGCUUCUGAUGCAGCCAGUUUUAGGUUUUAAAUGGAUUAAUGGAGAUUCUCCAUAAGAUUUAUUGCUGUGAGCGUUUGAGUCCGAAAGCACGAGUCUCGCGCCACAUACGUCAGAGUGGCAAUCUGCUUACAGUCGAAUCGGAGCCGAACGCGGCCGAAAGUCGCCGACGAGCUGCAUAGUAUCGCAUUGUCUGUUAUGGUACGAAUGGGCGUCCGUGACAACAACUUGAUUGCUUUUGAAUCACAUGUACUUAUCUUCUCAAACUGCUUUCGAGCAUCUUAACGACUGGUUGCAUUUUGAAGUGUCUUGCCAUCUAAAGAAUGGAGAACAAAGAAAUAAACAUAGUUAAGAUUAAAAUUAAACUUACAAUUAAAGUAAAAAUAACAACGAAGGAAGGUGUCAUUAAGAAGACAGAUGACACAGACAAGCCCCGAUCGACACGGAGGGUGCCUGACAUGCCGAAGACUGGAAGAGAAGAAAAUCAACGUGGCCAGAGGGUUCGUCCGUGGAGCGGGAGGGACAGGCUACCCACGCUGGAGGAAGAAGGAGCGACGAGGAAGAGGCCCCAACUGAAGUUCCUCCGUCGUCCGGACAGCAACGGCUCCUGCGAUCUACAACCAGAGAGAGGCCAGGGGCAGCGUCAGCGAUCGGCGGAACAGCAACUCCUGACAAGGAUCCAUGGACUUAUGGGUUAUGGUGGGAGAAGGAGGACUGACUACAGAGACAUUGUUCCUGAUGGACUUGUGGGUUAUGGGCGGGGACAGAGGGAUAAUAGCGAUGUUGUUGAUGGACUUGUGGGUUAUGGGCGGGGACGGAGGGAUAAUAGAGAUACUGUUUAAGUGUUAAUAUACAAAAGAGAUAGGAUAAGAUAAGAUAAGAUAGGAUAAGUUAAAAUAGGAUAAGAUAAGCUAAGUUAAAACAUAAUAAGAUAGGUUAAGUUAACAUAUGAUAAGAUAUGCUGUUAAAAUAUCAUAAGAUAGGCUAAGUUAAAAUAGGAUAAGAGCUUUACAAUAAAACAUAUACUUACUUUUCAAA